ACGCGAGGAACCUUACCAGGUCUUGACAUCCUCUGACACUCCUAGAGAUAGGACAUUCCCCUUCGGGGGACAGAGUGACAGGUGGUGCAUGGUUGUCGUCAGCUCGUGUCGUGAGAUGUUGGGUUAAGUCCCGCAACGAGCGCAACCCUUGAUCUUAGUUGCCAGCAUUAAGUUGGGCACUCUAAGGAGACUGCCGGUGACAAACCGGAGGAAGGUGGGGAUGACGUCAAAUCAUCAUGCCCCUUAUGACCUGGGCUACACACGUGCUACAAUGGACGGUACAAACGGUUGCCAACCCGCGAGGGGGAGCUAAUCCGAUAAAACCGUUCUCAGUUCGGAUUGUAGGCUGCAACUCGCCUACAUGAAGCCGGAAUCGCUAGUAAUCGCGGAUCAGCAUGCCGCGGUGAAUACGUUCCCGGGCCUUGCACUCACCGCCCGU
rnacentral:rRNA from 1 species